CCUACGGGAGGCAGCAGUGAGGAAUAUUGGUCAAUGGACGAGAGUCUGAACCAGCCAAGUAGCGUGAAGGAUGACUGCUCCAUGGGUUGUAAACUUCUUUUAUAAAGGAAUAAAACGAGGCACGUGUGCCUUUUUGCAAGUACUUUAUGAAUAAGGAUCGGCUAACUCCGUGCCAGCAGCCGCGGUAAUACGGAGGAUCCGAGCGUUAUCCGGAUUUAUUGGGUUUAAAGGGAGCGUAGAUGGGUUGUUAAGUUAGUUGUGAAAGUUUGCGGCUCAACCUUAAAAUUGCAAUUGAUACUGGCCGUCUAGAGAACAGUUGAGGUAAGCGGAAUGCGUGGUGUAGCGGUGAAAUGCUUAGAGAUCACGAAGAACCCCGAUUGCGAAGGCAGCUUACUAAACUGUGACUGACAUUGAUGCUCGAAAGUGUGGGUAUCAAACAGGAUUAGAUACCCCUGUAGUC
rnacentral:rRNA from 1 species